rnacentral:rRNA from 1 species
GACGAACGCUGGCGGCGUGCUUAACACAUGCAAGUCGAACGGAAAGGCCCUGCUUUUGUGGGGUGCUCGAGUGGCGAACGGGUGAGUAACACGUGAGUAACCUGCCCUUGACUUUGGGAUAACUUCAGGAAACUGGGGCUAAUACCGGAUAGGAGCUCCUGCUGCAUGGUGGGGGUUGGAAAGUUUCGGCGGUUGGGGAUGGACUCGCGGCUUAUCAGCUUGUUGGUGGGGUAGUGGCUUACCAAGGCUUUGACGGGUAGCCGGCCUGAGAGGGUGACCGGCCACAUUGGGACUGAGAUACGGCACAGACUCCUACGGGAGGCAGCAGUGGGGAAUAUUGCACGAUGGGCGGAAGCCUGAUGCAGCAACGCCGCGUGCGGGAUGACGGCCUUAGGGUUGUAAACCGCUUUCGCCUGUGACGAAGCGUGAGUGACGGUAAUGGGUACAGAAGCACCGGCUAACUACGUG